CCUGUCUCGAAAAAAACCAAAAGAUAAAAAUAAAUCACUGUGUAGACCUGUAGGGAGUAAUCCUGUUUAGAGGUAUUACUUGACCCCGCCUGCUUGGGGCUGGUUAGAGGUACCUCCGACCACGCCCACUUGGGCGUGGUCAGAGUGACAUGGGAAGGGUUUAAGUAGCAGAGAGGUACACUUGCACGUGGCCUUCUUCUCUCUGCUGCCUGGCUGAGCAGACAUCUGCGGGCCACUCCAGCUCCCGCAUAAACCCGAUCACUGGCUCUUGCGGUACCGAUCACUGCUUGUCAGCCCUGGGAUGGAUGGAGAUGUCAAGGCGUGGAUCAUUCCAGAGUGAGCUUGGUUUCAAAUCCCUAAUCCUAUGACUCCAGCAAGUCGACUUGUAAAUGUUUUGAUUUUUGGUUUGGAAAAAAAAAUUUUUUUUCAAGCUGGAAGUACUGGCUCACAUCUAUAAUUCCAGGACUUGAGAAAGCUGAGGCAGGAGGAUUGCCAAGAACUGAGGCCAGCCUGGGCUAUGUGGGAAGUUCCAGCUAACUGAAUCGCAGAGUGAGACCCUAUUUAAAAAGAAAUGUCUGCUUGAAGAAGAUUAAUGUCUCCAUUGUAGCAUUGUGUGACCACCCCAGGAAGGAUCACAUUGGCCAAUCAGCUAAGGCUGUGUUAUUGAGCUUCGGGAGUCUGAAUGAAGGCCCAGGUGGACUGUAAAUAUUCAGUUGGGAGCGUAGUGAAGCUGGGAGGCAGGGUUUCUCUGUGUAACAGCCCUGGCUGUCUUGGAACUUACUCUGUAGACCAGGCUGGCCUCAAACUCAGAGAUCUGCCUGCCUCUGCCUCCUGAGUGUGUGCCAUGUAGCCGCUGGAGAAGCAAGAUGUACGGCUAAUAUGGUUUGAUUGAGCAAGACCCCCAGAGAGGUCUCCAAUGGGAGCUAUAACCCAGAAGAUCCAGCAUCUAGAACAGCUUCCAGGCUACUGGCUGAGAUGGACCAACCAUACAAAAUACCCAAAGUGAGGACUUGACCAAAAUUCUAAAUUUUCUCAGGAUCCCCGUGAGAGUACCAGCACCCCUAAUCAGCAGAAAGUAGUCUUAGAAAACUACACCCAAAUCCCCAAAUAUUGUCUAUAAUUGUUAGUUUUCAUUUAAAGUGGGUUGAUUAUAAAUGGUUAAUGGUCACAAUCAAUCCCUUUCUAAAGAAAAAAAAGGGAAUGUGAUACAGAAAUGAAUACAUUUGUAUGGAUUUUGGUUUAUCUGCUGAACUUGCCAAAAGAAGGUAGGACGGUCUUUCAGGAAUCAUACUCAAAUGAAAGAGUCUGUCAGACAUGCUGUAGGACACAGAAGAAAGCAACUGACAAAUUUUGACAAAAUAGGUGGGACAGUCUGCCAGAAACUCUAGGCCUGUAGGUUGAAGAUAGAUGUCCCAAUGUCAAAAAAAAAACUUUGGGUGACUCUUCAGGCAGCCAGAUAUCUCUGCCAUUUCUAGAGUUUUGGAAGUUGCUUACGAUGCAUUUCCAGUUUACUUAGGUAAUAUUAUAUCCUUCUGGGGUCUUUGAUGGAGUUGAAGUCAGAUAGUUAUAAUUUUCCAUAGUUAUGAUAAAAUACAAAUUAGAUAUAAAACUUUAGAUUCACAAAAAUAAAAUAGAUAAUAAAAUAUUUAAUUUUGCCAAAUACAAAGAGAC
ensembl:lncRNA